rnacentral:tRNA from 1 species
GUCCUGAUAGUAUAAGCAUUACACUGGUCUUGUAAACCAGAAAUGAAAAAAUUUUUUUCUCAGGACA